UGUAAUGACCUUGGCUCCCUCUCGGUUUGGCUUGCAGUGAUCUCAGAAUGAAAACAGAUUUUCCUGGUUUGCAUCAUCAGUAAUCACCAUUUUGCAACGUUCAGCAAGACCUGGUAGCACACGUCACACCACCACCUGUGAUAUUCCUAAGGAAGGCAGCAGAACUGCAAGUGAAACUGGCAAGGACUUGCUAUCACCACCUAUCAUGGACAAGACACACAGACAACAAGAUCUGUUCGAUCAGCGAGUCUUCCCAGCUCAUCCAACCUGCAGUCUGUUCCCUCAAUGGACAGCACAGACACUGUCACACUAAUGAAAGAAGGACAUUUCAGUAUGAACUUUAUUACAGCAUAUCACAAAAAAACUCUUAUUAGUGCUAAUGUCAGCUCUAGUCCCUUUUUUAUGUUGGUGGAGCAACAGUGUUUCAAACUUGUAAAUAUAUGAUAAUGUUCUCUUCAGCAGUAUAAUAACUGAAUGCUUGUUCCACUCUUGACAUUGAUGAGGUGUACCACCAACCCCUGAUUGGCAGCAUAUUCCCCCAGCUCCUGGUAGAAGAUGGUGGAUGAGAGGAGGGUGCGAGCAUCAUUAUCCUCUACCUCCAAAUUCCCCAAGUCUGUGUUGGCCUUCCCAUCUGUACAGAUAAUCACCUUUGAGAUCAGCAGGGAUAAAAAUGAAAAAAAUUACAUAGGAUUGUCUUAGGACCAUACCAAAGUUUUUUUUCGCAUGUUUGUGACCAUUUAUUACAAAUCAUAUACAUUUUAAACCACAGCUCAUCCAGUUCAAAGUGCAGACAGAUUUAUGCUCUGCAGUACCACACAGCAAUAACUUUUACCAUGGAGUUGUCCCAAGUACAUACAGUACACUAAGUUCAGCUUGACAUUCAUAAAAAUUAAUGCAAAUAGAUGCAGGAAAAUAUUUACUCUGUUAACAGAGAAGGAGCCAGUAAUGCUGAGGACGGUCAACAAACUUAAUAUUCAAAUAAAUGGAGUCUACACAUCUGUUAUAAACAUAUUUAUGCUGUGCAUGAGCUUUGCUGAAUAUAUGCAACUGUGCAGUGCUGUGAAAUAUAAAUGUUCUACAGGUCACAUGUAUAAUGUAAUGCAUGUGAACUGUAAAUGGGCUAAAACAUAACACAUAAACUGGUAUGGUCCUGUCAAUAAGACUUAGGACCAAACCGACCUUGGAUCCUGGCAGUCUGGAGGCUGUUGCAAUCGCCAGGAGAGCAGCUGGACCAAGAGCUGUCGCCCCACUUUCAGAUAAUCUUUUAACAAGAGGAAAAUCACAAAAAAAGUGUUUUGAAGGUAAGGUUACUACUAAGUAAUAAAAAGACAAAAACAA